CUUUUUUUUGGCAUGGCUUGGGGAGGGGGCGAGAGGGCAGGGAGGGAAUGAAGACAUUACCAGCCUGUCCAGUUCUGAAGAACGUUAAAGCUGUUUGCCUAUUGAAUUUGAUACAAUGAUGUGUAGAUGAAUAAAGUUAUCUUCACUUUUGAAUAGGAUGGUGUCAGUGGGAGGGUAAGAAGGAAAGAACUUGGAAUCUGAAAAGAAUACUUGGAGGGGGGAAAGAACUUGAAGGUCAGAGUCCAGCUGCUGUGAAUGGCAAGACGACAAACAAAAUUGUGGACUGGCCUAAAUAAGGACAACGAUAGACACACAUAUUGGAGCGAUUCCUUGCUCCAAGUAGUGAUUUAUAGGGUCCCACAUUUGUGUAGGCAAAGAGCAUUUUUAAAAAAGGUUUCACACUGGUGCAAAGAUAGGAUGCGCAGGAGCAUGGGCACAAAUUGACCGCAUGUAAUGGAAGAGAUGACUCAGGCCUGCAAAGAAGCACUCAUUUGACAAGCUGGCCCUUCAAUCAGUGACAUUUCCAUCACGCAUACCUUGACAAGCUGGGCAUACUGGUGUCAGCUUCACCACGUUUCGCUGACAGAUUGUCCUGCCUCGGUUUGAAUGGGAGAAACCGGAUUUCGGCUCCGAAGCAAGGGAAAAAAAAUCUACCGAAUGCGCAUUUUCCUUUCCAACCGGGGUGGCCAAUGUCUCCAGAUCUGCACUCCACUUUGAAACUCUGUUUGGACAAAAUAUGAUAUGCCACAGAUAUGGUUUGUAUUGCAAGCUUAUGAGAUAGAGAGAUACGAUAUUCCCCAAAAGGUUUCCGGUAAUAGUUUGUCAGGGAGUUCUGGCAUUGCCAAGGCAUCCCAAUCCAACUUGCAUCGGUUUAUUUUGGGGAAGGAAGACAACACACACAAAAGAGGCCCGAAUAUUGUCUGGACUGUGCCUGCGCGUGGUGUAUGUGUGUGUACUGUGUACAUAGGAGAUUUCUCUAUACAUAUAUAUCGGUUUAAAUGAAUUCCGAAUGGAUUUAGAGACCUUCCUUCUCCAGUCUCUGCUGCUCAACUUGCUCCAACUUGGAUCCGUCUGCUCCUAUGCCUUGCGCAUUUGUAUUCGUAAAGGUAGAAAUGCGGAUAAUGUUUCUGGGAAUUAUUAUCACGGGAAAUUCUCUAUUAUCUAUCUAUCUAUCUCCUUGAUGUGUUUACUGGGUGCCAAAGGGAGCUAUAAUCCCAAGAAAAAUGUGCCCAAAAGAGUCCUAAAGAACAACCAGUUGGCUUUAUGGGAGGACUUCUGUAGGGAUAAUAAGCUGAAAUAAAAUGUGUGUGUGUAAAAUCUUC